rnacentral:misc_RNA from 1 species
GAGAUUGUCGUCUCAUUGUUUAUCCCCGAGGGCAGUCUCAGCCACCAUGCCACCUUUCUGUGUUUCUUGAAGUUACAGAUUCACGAAAUACUUCCAGUGAUUGGAGUUGUUUUGUGAGCCAUCGUUUGUCAGUUUUGAACCAGAGGAUGGAGGAGAAAUCUGUAACCAAAGAAUCUCAGAAUCGUUAUUCCAAAGCUGCAAAAGAUUGGGGUUG